rnacentral:rRNA from 1 species
AUUGAACGCUGGCGGCAUGCCUUACACAUGCAAGUCGAACGGGGGUAGCAAUACCCUAGUGGCGAACGGGUGAGCAAAGCAUCGGAACGUACCCAGUUGUGGGGGAUAACGUAGCGAAAGUUACGCUAAUACCGCAUACGCACUGAGGUGGAAAGCGGGGGAUCGCAAGACCUCGCGCAAUUGGAGCGGCCGAUGUCGGAUUAGCUAGUUGGUAGGGUAAAAGCCUACCAAGGCGACGAUCCGUAGCUGGUCUGAGAGGACGACCAGCCACACUGGGACUGAGACACGGCCCAGACUCCUACGGGAGGCAGCAGUGGGGAAUUUUGGACAAUGGGCGAAAGCCUGAUCCAGCCAUGCCGCGUGAGUGAAGAAGGCCUUCGGGUUGUAAAGCUCUUUCGGACAGAAAGAAAUCGCACGGGUAAAUAAUCCGUGUGGAUGACGGUACUGUAAGAAGAAGCACCGGCUAACUACGUGCCAGCCGCCGCCGUAA